UGCCACACAUGUCUUCAAGGUGUGUUUUGUUGCGCUCAGCCAGUUUCAUGCUCACGGAUGAAACGGAUUCUCGAAUGGCUGCCGUCUCAGAUGCGGUCAAAAGGGGAGAAUGACGUUAAUUACGAAGGAGAAAAUUACACAGCCAGCCCAUUCAAGAGGUUUGAAACUGGGAAUGACUUGCCAGGUUGAUCAUUCCAUUCAUUGGUGUUAUUGACUUGAAAACAGUGAGUCUGAGUAAAAAGGGAAAUAUGUUUCAAAUUGACGGAACUAUCUCUCGUGGCAGAUUUAAAAAGCUAUAAUAGCCGGAGAGAAACAUCUCAGCUCAGUUUUUAAAUAACUGUUGUUGUUGAUCGUAGCGAAUUCGCGGUGUGAUCGGAUUAGCUUUCUCUGCACUUUGGA